GAGAACUCCUAGCCCUGUGACUCUUGCUCUCUGUGUUCUGUCGGUGGCUCAGAGGACAGAGUGCACCUGGGCCAGCUGAGACACUGGUGAGGCCCUAGGACACUACUGGCCCCAGAUGGCCUUUCUAGCUUCAGUGGCACCUGGUCCAGGGCCUCGGGGCAAAGGCCCCUCUAGGGUCACAACAGUGUCCACUCAGUCCUGUUUUGUUGAUGACCCUGGUGGUGUCAUUCCUGCCCUGGAAUCCUCAGCCAGGCCAGGUGACAAGAGUUCCCCUGCUGGCCCCCUGCCACAGGAACACAAAGUACCUUUGCACACAACCUCUCUUUGUCCCCCACUGGUGACAGCAAAUAGGGCAGGCCCAGGGCAAAUGGUGAGUUGGCAGAAGUUUGUCUCAGACGGUGCUGGCAGCCUUGCUGUUGAGUUCUCUUCCCACUUGGGCUUUCCUGCUGGCUGACUCCCUCCCCUUGCUGCGGACUGGAUGCUGGGAUUUAACCCUUUUAUAACCCAGACGGGCAUGAAAGGACUGCUUGGGGAGCUUGCGGCUUUUUAGGAGAUAUGCUUGGAGGGCAGCAUAUAGAACUUCCCAGGCUAGGGGUCAGUCUAUACCACAGCCACAGCAACAUGGGAUCCAAGCCGCAUCUGUGACCUACACCUCAGCUCUCGGGAACACUGGAUCCUUAACCCACUGAGUGAGACCAGGGAUCGAACCUGCAUCCUCAUGGAGACUAGUUUGUAUUCUUAACCUGCAGAGCCACAAAAGGACACCUCAGUUUUCUGUUUUGUCAAGCUAUUUCUGGGGAUUCUUCUGAAGAUUCAACAAGAUGAUCCAAGCUGAAUGCUUUGCGUCGUGGCCCAUGGUAGGUGCUCAAAAAAACUUUGCUGUCUGCCCGUGACCUGGGUUGGGGCAAGGGGACAAAACGACACAGAAAUGCCCAGGAAACUUCAUCAUGUAGACUGACAGCAUUUGCAAGGGAGGUAACAAAACAAGCAGAAAAAUCUUUUAAAAAUUUUGGCUGAGUAAAGGCAACAGUAUAAUUACUAUCAUUUAUAAAAACUUCUUUCCCAUUAAUGCCUAAUUCCCACGAAGCGCAACAAUGAUUAUCUCAUUAACUGUGUGUCAGAUUAACUUUGUUGUAGGUUUUAUUUGAUUAAAACAGUGAACUCUCAA